AACGAACGCUGGCGGCGUGCCUAACACAUGCAAGUCGUGCGAGAAAGUUCCUUCGGGAGCGAGUAAAGCGGCGCACGGGUGAGUAACACGUAGGUAACCUGCCCCCCAGUCUGGAACAACUAGAGGAAACUCUAGCUAAUGCCGGAUGAGACCACGAUCCCUUCGGGGGUUGCGGCCAAAGAUGGCCUCUACUUGUAAGCUAUCGCUGAGGGAUGGGCCUGCGGGCCAUUAGCUUGUUGGUGAGGUAACGGCUCACCAAGGCUGUGAUGGCUAGCUGGUCUGAGAGGAUGACCAGCCACACUGGGACUGAGACACGGCCCAGACUCCUACGGGAGGCAGCAGUGGGGAAUAUUGCGCAAUGGGCGAAAGCCUGACGCAGCGA
rnacentral:rRNA from 1 species